UGAACCUUUUAGUUUUUUUUAUCUGCCUUUUUUCUUAUUAAUCUCUUGUAAAAAAAAGAAGAAGAAUAUCGGUAUUUUAUAUUCGAUUUCAACAACUCCUCUGUUUCUAUUGUAUUAUUUUGCUAUUUGGUUUCUUUUCUCUGCUGCGUUGUCUUGUCUUGCAGGUGAUUGACACGGCAAGUGGGCAUGGCGGUGGUGUGAUAGACGUGCGGCGGCUCGAAGACCAAGGGUUAGAGACGAGUGGCGGCAAAAGACCAAAGGUCCGAAGCAUGUGCGGCGACUUUGAUUUCUGGGUCUAUUGGGCCUGGUAUUGGGCUCCGGGUUUGGGUUUAUGGUAGUUGGGUUAGGGUCUGUCAUUGGGUUAAAGUUUGUAAAUGGGCUGUUUAUUAUUUGGCUUAUUUUCUGGUAUGGACCCGGGCCAAAAUGGGCUUGUACAGCCGAAACCCCAGUAGCUUCCAGCGCGAGCCGCCAUUGUCCGCACGUGCCCCACGAACACAGCCUCCAGCGCCUUCGGUCUCCCUCUCUACGCGCGCCACGCCACCACCUUCGUACGACUGUACCUGCAGAGGACAAACAAACAAAGAAAAAUAGAAAUCGACAGCAAAAAAUAUAAUAACAAAAUAGCAAAUAGAAAAAAGAGGAGAAAAAUAGAAAAUUUGAUGUAUUUUCGGGGCUAUAAAACCCCAUUUCUGUAUUGUUUCAAGGGGGUUUUCCUUCCCUUUUUUUUACACGAGAUUGAAUACAGAAAAAAGGAUUGGAGAGAUAUAUCGGUUGUUUUCUUUUUCAUUUUUCUUCACUGUUCUUUUUCUUUUUUGGUUUCUUUGUGUAGGAAACAUUAAACAACAGAAAAACAGAGGUUUAAGGAAGAGAGUUUACCUGGCUUGCUGGACUGUCGCUUGUUUCGCCGCAGUCGAAAUCAAGCGGUGGUUUAGGCGCCUCCAGAUGUUCAUCGUCGAACGGCGCAAAGAGAGAGCUUUUCUCUCAUUUCUUUAGGUUUUUUGUUAGAUUAGGAAAAUGUUUAUUAGCUUAGGGUUAUGUUUUUUUUAACCACGAAAGAAACGGCGCUGUUUGCCCACAGCGACCCGCGCGGUGACCCGAUCCGGGGAAGGAUCCGCGCAUUUUGGUCGUGUGGUCUAUUUGCGUAUAAGGUCCCCUCUUUCUUCGUGGUGUUUUCAUGUCAGUUUUUUUUCUUAUUUAUGAAUUUCAUGCUUCAUUUUGGUUUUGCUACAUUUUGGUCCAUGUCACUGUGCUGCAUUUUGGGGAAGCGGGAUAUUUCCCAUUUGGCUCCCCCCUGUAAUUCGCGAAUUGCAGUUUGACCCUCCGUUUCUUUUAAAUCAUAUUUGUGGCCUGUUAAUUUUGUUCUGUCUGCAGUUUAGUCCCU
rnacentral:lncRNA from 1 species